rnacentral:rRNA from 1 species
AACGAACGCUGGCGGCAUGCCUAACACAUGCAAGUCGAACGAGACCUUCGGGUCUAGUGGCGCACGGCUGCGUAACGCGUGGGAACCUGCCCUUAGGUUCGGAAUAACUCCCCGAAAGGGGUGCUAAUACCGGAUAAUGUCUUCGGACCAAAGAUUUAUCGCCUUUGGAUGGGCCCGCGUUGGAUUAGCUAGUUGGUAGGGUAAAAGCCUACCAAGGCGACGAUCCAUAGCUGGUCUGAGAGGAUGAUCAGCCACACUGGGACUGAGACACGGCCCAGACUCCUACGGGAGGCAGCAGUGGGGAAUAUUGGACAAUGGGCGUAAGCCUGAUCCAGCAAUGCCGCGUGAGUGAUGAAGGCCUUAGGGUUGUAAAGCUCUUUUACCCGGGAUGAUAAUGACAGUACCGGGAGAAUAAGCUCCGGCUAACUCCGUG